CUGAAGGAACAAACCAAACUUUAAAUAUCUGAUGUCAUAAUGCAAUGUCCCACUCAUUUAAAGGUUUGUACAGGACACUUUAUGCCAGAAUAUGGUUAUGGGGACUAGGUUAAAAAUCUUAAUGGGGUUAAACAGAGAGCAGGCAAUUAUCUUGCAAAGUUAAAGUGCCCGUCGAUCUAUAAUGAGGUAAGGAGGUCCCUAUAAUUCUGCACUGUAGCAAAAAGGCCAUUCCCCUAUUCGGAGAUGGGAGCCUGUGUUUGGUAUAUGGUAAAACGAGCAAUGAGGGAGAUUUAACAAAAAAGUGUUCUGUUCUAAAAAGUGGUGCAGAUUGUAAAAGGAGAGGAGUCGCCAAUGCAAUGUGCCCACUAGUUUCUAUGGUAAAUGCCCCACCUUUUGAGUACUUAAAGCUGCACUGUCAUGCCAUAUUUACCUUUUCCCAAUCACUUCCUGUUUCCUUCUCUCUUUUUCACUCUGUAAAGAGCUUCAGGCGGCUGCAGCACUGCUUCCUGUCAGUCCGGCCGGGUACAGGAAACAGAAACUCUGCGCAGUACAGGAUCCCUAUGCACUACACACCAUAAGCACACACAUUAGAUCCUCUACAAUAACACAUCCCCUACACACUCCACUCCCUGUGAGGAAACUCAUGGGUGGGAGGAACGUAUAAGUGGACUUAUGAGUGGGCCUUAUGGGCAUACUUACCGUCAGGCGCUGGGACCCAGACCUUGAGCUGUGUAUGGGGCCCCCAAAAAAUGGAGCUGCUUUCCAUUCUCCCAGAACAUUGAAUUUUGUGACCACAGUUGCAAACAGCCUCCAGAGAUCCUGUUCUACACCAGACCAGUGGAGCCAAACUGCAGCCCAUCGUCAUCCUCAUCUGGUUGUAAGUAGGCAAUCUAGUAUAUUAUUAGUGACACUAAUUAUAAUUUUAGCUUAAUGAAGUGGUUCUGCUGUCUCUAGCUGGUUCCUGCAGGCUUUUUAAUGUAAACACACACUGUGUCCAGCACUGGCUUUAGUUCACAUGGGGGCGGCAAAUAUUUCUUUUGCCAAGGGCGGCAAAAAUCCUUGCACCAGCUCUGAUCCUGGGCAGGUGCACCAAUCUACUGGUGACCCACAGGAGGGGAGUGCACUGAUUGCACAGCACUCUCCUCCUGCCCAGACCCGUCUUUACCGCAGCGCAAGUGCCCUCUGCCCCUAAUUUACAGUGGCUCACACUCACAGCAAGCAGUGCCUGGAACCCUUUGCAGAGACGGGAACAAAGAAGUUCUGCGGCAGCUGGCCAUCCUGCAAGCAUUACAUUAACCAGCUGUUCCCCAUGCAGCCACAGAUGGUGCUGUGCUGCGAGAAUAG